GAGUUUGAUUAUGGCUCAGGAUGAACGCUGGCGGCGUGCCUAACACAUGCAAGUUGAGCGAGAAAUCACUUAAAGAAGCUUCGGUAGACUUAAGAGAUGGAGAGCAGCGGACGGGUGAGUAACGCGUGGGAAACCUGCCCUUGACAGGAGGAUAGCCGAGAGAAAUUUCGAUUAAUACUUCAUAAAGCAGAGCAUUCGCAUGGAUGAACUGCCAAAGAAUUAUCGGUCAAGGAUGGUCCCGCGUCUGAUUAGCUGGUUGGUAAGGUAGCGGCUUACCAAGGCGACGAUCAGUAGCCGGCCUGAGAGGGUGAACGGCCACAUUGGAACUGAGACACGGUCCAGACUCCUACGGGAGGCAGCAGUGGGGAAUAUUGCACAAUGGGCGAAAGCCUGAUGCAGCAACGCCACGUGAAGGAAGAAGGCUUUCGAGUCGUAAACUUCUGUCCAAAGGGAAGAAUAAUGACGGUACCUU
rnacentral:rRNA from 1 species